rnacentral:rRNA from 1 species
ACUAGCCCUGAAAAUGGAUGGCGCUUGAGCGGGAGACCUAUACUCUGCCGUUAGUCGCAAAGCUUUAGGGCGGUGCUAACGAGUAAGAGGACGUCGCGAUUCUGCUUUGAAGGUUUGGGCGUGAGCCUGACUGGAGCAGUCGUGAGUGCAGAUCUUGGUAGUAGUAGCAAAUAUUUAAGUGAGAUCCUUAAAGACUGAAGUGGAGAAGGGUUUUGCGUGAACAGUAGUUGAACGCAAGUUAGUCGAUCCUAAGACAAUGGCUAAUGCCGUGUUUGCUCAAAAGGAGCGUUUCGUCUUUGCUUUUCGGAGUGAGGAUUUAACGAAGCGUUCAUCUGUCGAAAGGGAAGCAGGUUAAUAUUCCGGCACCAGGUUACGGAGAUUGCGUCUUGCUUUCGGGCUUGGCGUUUUAGCGCGGUAACGCAAACGAACUCGAUAACGUUGCACGUGACCUGAGCUAGAGUUUUCUUCUCUAGUUGAAAAGUCUGACUCCUGGAAUUGAUUCGGUUGGAGAUAGGAGUAAUUGACUUUGCACAAGCAGCGCGGGUACUGUGUUGUCUCAUGCGUUGCGUGCGAUACGUGAAAAAUCGAGGGAGGCUAUUUGAAUUUCGUGCCUGAUCGUACCCAUAUCCGCAGCAGGUCUCCAAGGUGUGCAGCCUCUAGUCGAUAGAAUAAUGUAGGUAAGGGAAGUCGGCAAAUUAGAUCCGUAACUUUGGGAAAAGGAUUGGCUCUAAGGAUUGGUCGUUUCGGGGUUCGACACGAAGCCGGGCGAUUCUGCUGAAUGUGCGUGCUGCUUCGGUGGUGCGUGCGUUUUGGCUAGUGAUUGCUUGGUGGACUGUCGGAUCUGUGCGUCUUGUUUUCGGACUUGGCGUUUUACGAGCGGCUUUUGGCAAUCGUCUUAGAACUGGAACGGACUCGGGGAAUCCGACUGUCUAAUUAAAACAGAGGAGACAGAUGGUGCUUGAUGCGUGUUAACUGUCUCUGAUUUCUGCCCAGUGCUCUGAAUGUCAAAGUGAGGUAACUCGACCAAGCGCGGGUAAACGGCGGGAGUAACUAUGACUCUCUUAAGGUAGCCAAAUGCCUCGUCCUCUAAUUAGGGACGCGCAUGAAUGGAUUAACGAGAUUCCCACUGUCCCUAUCUACUAUCUAGCGAAACUACAGCCAAGGGAACGGGCUUGGCGAAAACAGCGGGGAAAGAAGACCCUGUUGAGCUUGACUCUAGUUCGACUCUGUGAUGAGUCUUGAGAGGUGUAGCAUAAGUGGGAGAUCUUCGGAUCGCAAGUGAAAUACCACUACUUUCAACGAUUUUUUACUUACUCGAUUAGACGACGCCUUUAUGUGUUUUGGGUUUAAACGUUGGCACUUGGUGCUAGCGUGAGUCGCGUCGAGAAAAAAGUCAGACGGGGAGUUUGACUGGGGCGGUACAUCUAUCAAAUCGUAACGUAGGUGUCCUAAGGCUGGCUCAGAGAGGUUGGAAACCUUUCGUAGAGUAAAAGGGCAAAAGCGAGCUUGAUCUAGAUUUUCAGUACGAAUACAGACCGUGAAAGCGUGGCCUAUCGAUCCUUUUGAUUUGAAAAGUUUUCAGUAAGAGGUGUCAGAAAAGUUACCACAGGGAUAACUGGCUUGUGGCAGCCAAGCGUCCAUAGCGACGUUGCUUUUUGAUC